rnacentral:rRNA from 1 species
AUGCACGCUGGCGGCGUGCCUAAUACAUGCAGGUCGAGCGAACAGACGAGGAGCUUGCUCCUCUGACGUUAGCGGCGGACGGGUGAGUAACACGUGGAUAACCUACCUAUAAGACUGGGAUAACUUCGGGAAACCGGAGCUAAUACCGGAUAAUAUAUUGAACCGCAUGGUUCAAUAGUGAAAGACGGUUUUGCUGUCACUUAUAGAUGGAUCCGCGCCGCAUUAGCUAGUUGGUAAGGUAACGGCUUACCAAGGCAACGAUGCGUAGCCGACCUGAGAGGGUGAUCGGCCACACUGGAACUGAGACACGGUCCAGACUCCUACGGGAGGCAGCAGUAGGGAAUCUUCCGCAAUGGGCGAAAGCCUGACGGAGCAACGCCGCGUGAGUGAUGAAGGUCUUCGGAUCGUAAAACUCUGUUAUUAGGGAAGAACAAAUGUGUAAGUAACUAUGCACGUCUUGACGGUACCUAAUCAGAAAGCCACGGCUAACUACGU